AAGCCCCAGUAAACGGCGGCCGUAACUAUAACGGUCCUAAGGUAGCGAAAUUCCUUGUCGGGUAAGUUCCGACCCGCACGAAAGGCGUAACGAUUUGGGCACUGUCUCAACGAGAGACUCGGUGAAAUCAUAGUACCUGUGAAGAUGCAGGUUACCCGCGACAGGACGGAAAGACCCCGUGGAGCUUUACUGUAGCCUGAUAUUGAAAUUCGGCACAGCUUGUACAGGAUAGGUAGGAGCCUUUGAAACGUGAGCGCUAGCUUACGUGGAGGCGUUGGUGGGAUACUACCCUAGCUGUGUUGGCUUUCUAACCCGCACCACUUAUCGUGGUGGGAGACAGUGUCAGGCGGGCAGUUUGACUGGGGCGGUCGCCUCCUAAAAGGUAACGGAGGCGCUCAAAGGUUCCCUCAGAAUGGUUGGAAAUCAUUCAUAGAGUGUAAAGGCAUAAGGGAGCUUGACUGCGAGACCUACAAGUCGAGCAGGGUCGAAAGACGGACUUAGUGAUCCGGUGGUUCCGCAUGGAAGGGCCAUCGCUCAACGGAUAAAAGCUACCCCGGGGAUAACAGGCUUAUCUCCCCCAAGAGUUCACAUCGACGGGGAGGUUUGGCACCUCGAUGUCGGCUCAUCGCAUCCUGGGGCUGUAGUCGGUCCCAAGGGUUGGGCUGUUCGCCCAUUAAAGCGGUACGCGAGCUGGGUUCAGAACGUCGUGAGACAGUUCGGUCCCUAUCCGUCGUGGGCGUAGGAAAUUUGAGAGGAGCUGUCCUUAGUACGAGAGGACCGGGAUGGACAUACCUCUGGUGUACCAGUUGUCGUGCCAACGGCAUAGCUGGGUAGCUAUGUAUGGACGGGAUAAGUGCUGAAAGCAUCUAAGCAUGAAGCCCCCCUCAAGAUGAGAUUUCCCAACUUCGGUUAUAAGAUCCCUCGAAGAUGACGAGGUUAAUAGGUUCGAGGUGGAAGCGUGGUGACACGUGGAGCUGACGAAUACUAAUCGAUCGAAGACUUAAUCAAUUUUUAAA
rnacentral:rRNA from 1 species